rnacentral:rRNA from 1 species
UACGUAGGGGGCAAGCGUUGUCCGGAUUCAUUGGGCGUAAAGCGCGCGCAGGCGGCUUCGCAAGUCGGCCGUGAAAUCUCCAGGCUCAACUUGGAGGGGUCGGGCGAGACUGCGGAGCUCGAGGUGGGCAGAGGGCAGUGGAAUUCCGGGUGUAGUGGUGGAAUGCGUAGAGAUCCGGAGGAACACCAGUGGCGAAGGCGGCUGCCUGGGCCUGGCCUGACGCUGAGGCGCGAAAGCUAGGGGAGCGAACAGG